GAUGAACGCUGGCGGCGUGCCUAAUACAUGCAAGUCGAGCGAACGGACGAGAAGCUUGCUUCUCUGAUGUUACCGGCGGACGGGUGAGUAACACGUGGAUAACCUACCUAUAAGACUUGGAUCACUUCGGGUAACCGGAGCUAAUACCGGAUAAUAUUUUGAACCUGAUGGUUCAAAAGUAAAAUACGUUCUUGCUGUCACUUAGAGCUGGAUCCGCGCUGCAUUAGCUAGUUGGUAAGGUAACGGCUUACCAUGGCAACGAUGCAUAGCCGACCUGACAGGGGGAUCGGGCACACUGGAACUGAGACACGGUCCAGACUCCUACGGGAGGCAGCAGUAGGGAAUCUUCCGAAAUGGGCGAAAGCCUGAAGGAGCAACGCCGCGUGAGUGAUGAAGGUCUUCGGAUCGUAAAACUCUGUUAUUAGGGAAGAACAUAUGUGUAAGUAACUGUGCACAUCUUGACGGUACCUAAUCAGAAAGCCACGGCUAACUACGUG
rnacentral:rRNA from 1 species